rnacentral:pre_miRNA from 1 species
AUAAUAUACUCAUUUCGUCCUAUAAUAUAAGGGAUUUUGAAGGGAUGUGACACAUCCUAGCUAUAACCAUAUAUCUAGACAUAGCUAGGAACAUAUAUCUAGACAUGCUCUUGUCUAGAUAUAUGUGUUAUAUCUCUCCAAAAUCCCUUAUAUUAUGGGACGGAUGAAUAUGUUAU